CCGUGCUAGGCGGGGCGCUAGCGGUGCCUUGUAACCCCAAAUCCGCUACAGGGGGGCCAAAAGCCUUUUUGAGGGUGUGUCUUGUGGGGAACUGCCCCGGAUAAGCGGUGAUGAUAUUCGGGUCCUGUGCGACGGACUGCCGUGAACCCUGUCAGGUCCGGAAGGAAGCAGCAGUAAGCGGAUUUGCUCCGGGCGCCCCAGGGCAACCUGGGUUGAGCUGGCUGUCCGGGUAACGCCCGGAAGGCCCAUUCGAAAAAAGGCGCACGG
rnacentral:SRP_RNA from 1 species